GAUGAACGCUGGCGGCGUGCCUAAUACAUGCAAGUCGAGCGAACAGACGAGGAGCUUGCUCCUCUGACGUUAGCGGCGGACGGGUGAGUAACACGUGGAUAACCUACCUAUAAGACUGGGAUAACUUCGGGAAACCGGAGCUAAUACCGGAUAACAUGCUGAACCGCAUGGUUCAACAGUGAAAGACGGUCUUGCUGUCACUUAUAGAUGGAUCCGCGCCGCAUUAGCUAGUUGGUAAGGUAACAGCUUACCAAGGCAACGAUGCGUAGCCGACCUGAGAGGGUGAUCGGCCACACUGGAGCUGAGACGCGGUCCAGACUCCUAAGGGAGGCAGCAGUAGGGAAUCGUCCGCAAUGGGCGAAAGCCUGACGGAGCAACGCCGCGUGAGUGAAGAAGGUCUUCGGAUCGUAAAACUCUGUUAUUAGGGAAGAACAAAUGUGUAAGUAACUAUGCACGUCUUGACGGUACCUAAUCAGAAAGCCACGGCUAACUACGUG
rnacentral:rRNA from 1 species